GUGAGGCAAUCAGGCACAGAGAGACAGUUUUCGGUGGGAAAGUGAACUGAUCCAUUCACAGACGCAUUAGACACAUCAACAAUGGCAGUCAUGUGAACACUUCGGCACAUUUUGAGACGCCCAGUUCCUCCACUCCUCCAGCACCAUCUUGACCGCCAGAAGUUCCCGGAUAUCUACGUCGUAGUUUCUCUCAGAGGAGUUGAGACGAUGGGACAGGAAGGGACAGGAAUGGAGCUUUUGGUCAUGGGAAGAUUGCUGGGACAGGAUGGCCCCCACUCCAAAUUCAGAAGCAUUGACCUCAACCACAAACUGACGGGACGGGUCCGGAUGGACGAGGAUUGGGGCAGUAGUGAACCAAUGCUUCAGAUCCACAAAGCCCUGUAAACAGCUGGGGACCAUGUGAACGGUACCUUGGGAGAAGACCUGAGCCCUAGAACCAUGCCCCAGGACUACCUGACAUGAUGACUCCUUG